UACAGAGGGUGCGAGCGUUAAUCGGAAUUACUGGGCGUAAAGCGUGCGUAGACGGUUAUGUAAGUCUGAUGUGAAAGCCCUGGGCUCAACCUGGGAACGGCAUUGGAAACUGGCUUACUAGAGUGCGGUAGAGGGGUGUGGAAUUCCCGGUGUAGCAGUGAAAUGCGUAGAUAUCGGGAGGAACAUCUGUGGCGAAGGCGACACCCUGGACCCAGCACUGACACUGAGGCACGAAAAGCGUGGGGAGCAAACAGG
rnacentral:rRNA from 1 species